UGGGGAAUAUUGCACAAUGGGCGAAAGCCUGAUGCAGCGACGCCGCGUGAGGGAUGACGGCCUUCGGGUUGUAAACCUCUUUCAGCAGGGAAGAAGCGAAAGUGACGGUACCUGCAGAAGAAGCGCCGGCUAACUACGUGCCAGCAGCCGCGGUAAUACGUAAGGCGCAAGCGUUGUCCGGAAUUAUUGGGCGUAAAGAGCUCGUAGGCGGUUAGUCGCGUCUGCUGUGAAAACUCGAGGCUCAACCUCGGGCUUGCAGUGGGUACGGGCUGACUAGAGUGCGGUAGGGGUGACUGGAAUUCCUGGUGUAGCGGUGGAAUGCGCAGAUAUCAGGAGGAACACCGAUGGCGAAGGCAGGUCACUGGGCCGCAACUGACGCUGAGGAGCGAAAGCAUGGGGAGCGAACAGGAUUAGAUACCCUGGUAGUCCAUGCCGUAAACGUUGGGCACUAGGUGUGGGGUCCAUUCCACGGAUUCCGUGCCGCAGCAAACGCAUUAAGUGCCCCGCCUGGGGAGUACGGCCGCAAGGCUAAAACUCAAAGGAAUUGACGGGGGUCAUAGCUG
rnacentral:rRNA from 1 species